rnacentral:rRNA from 1 species
AUGUCUUGCUGCGGAGGAAGCUGCGGCUGCGGCAGCGCCUGCAAGUGCGGCAACGGCUGCGGCGGCUGCAACAUGUACCCGGAGGCUGAGGCCGCCGGCGCCACCCUCCUCGUCUCUGCCACCGCCACCCACAAGGCGAGCUCCAGCGGGAUGGAGAUGGCGGCGGAGAACGGCGGCUGCGGCUGCACCCAGUGCAAGUGCGGCACCAGCUGCGGCUGCUCCUGCUGCAGCUGCUAG